AUUUGCCCGCUUGCCCUCCGGCAUUGUGGGGUGUGGUUCGUUUAGAGGCGUUGGGUCCAGCGCACGUGCGGGUGCAUGAGUGGUAAUGGGAUUGUUUUUGUCGGCUGGCUCCGUGCUCGCGCAUCGAACGGUUGACAUGCUCUCCCCCUCAUUGACGCCGAUCUGCCUCCGGGCAUCGGUGCUUGUUGCUGGUUCCUGUGUUGCGUACCUACUUGAUGGUAUUUGCUGGGCUGUCGAGACACGUUCCACCCAGCCCAUUUCCUGGGGGAUUCCUAAGAAACGCUUGCUGCCGACGUUAGCCUUGGAGUGCUUCUUCACUGGCUUCCUUCGGCACGCUUGCUUUUGCUGAUCUCUCGGAUACGGUGUAUGCUGUGAACGCGGGUUUGGUGUCCCGUGUUGUUCCUCUAAAAUCGGUUGCCUCGAAUGACGGUUGCCUUGGCGGAGGUUCUGUUCACCUUCACUGUGUGGCAGCACUUGCGCCAAUGGCGAAGUUAGUAACGGAUGCUACCUG
rnacentral:misc_RNA from 1 species